rnacentral:lncRNA from 1 species
CUGCCUGCCAUUGUUCCUCAAGCCAGCAAGCAAGAAGCACACAGGAAGCUCCUAGCCAACACCAAUCAAGGCCUCCAUCCAAUCCCAAGCAACCUCGAAUAUGUCUUGCUGCGGAGGAAACUGCGGAUGCGGCACCGCCUGCAAGUGCGGCAACGGCUGCGGUGGCUGCAACAUGUACCCCGAGGUUGAGGCCGCCGGCGCCACCCUCCUCGUCUCCGCCACUGCCACUCACAAGGGGUACGUCCCUUCUCUUGACAAAAUUUUCUCCACAGCUCAUACAUCAUCAUGCACUCGAUCUUUUUUUUUUGCGGGGUACGUGCAGGAGCUCCGGCGGCAUGGAGAUGGCGGCCGAGAACGGCGGCUGCGGCUGCACCCAGUGCAAGUGCGGCACCAGCUGCGGCUGCUCCUGCUGCAGCUGCUAGAUCAUUGAUCAUGCAUGCGCCGCGUGCAUCAUAUCUAUGAUCUACGUAUCCAUCUACUACCAUGUAAUGCCACCUGAUCGAGGGUCUUUGUAUGUAUGUAGUAUGUACGCACCUGCCUGCAUGAGCAGAGCGGGUGCCAUUCCAUGCAUGUAAACCCCUAAAUAAAAUCUCCCGUGGUUUUGCUUACAUCGUGUUGUUAGAUCCUCCUCCUAUUAGUGUUGCUUUCGGGUUCUUCUUAUGCACUAGCAGGAUCAGAGGCCGGUCUUUUGUUCUUGGUCUUCUCCUCAAACUGUCGUUUUCCUCUUCUCUAUGGUUCCAUGUGCGGCAGUAUUUUCUUCUUCUGUUGCCGAGUGUUGUAUCAGACUGUACCUUGUUUUGUGGUUUAUUCCUAUCCAUCUCGAAAUAUAGUGCAGGAAUUUAUUUGCAAAAGGUGGAUCUCAACAAGACACGACGGUAUGUGUAUCUUGCAGGAUUUAUUGAUCGGUCUAUCUUAUGCAUCUUAUUAAAAAAAUACAUUAAGGUCUCAUGGUCAAGCCAAAUUAUCAUUGUUUUUCCUUGCAUGCAAAAUGCAGCAAUAAAUCUUCGUCCUUGGCUUGUUUCUCAUUUCACUGCCUACGUUGCAGGUAUCCGACCCUGUUGGAAUCUCCUUUUCUGUCAUUGUGUUCACUUUCUGUGAUGUGAUGUGUGCGCAAAUAUUCCCACAACAACAACAUAAUAAUAAAGCCAUAUACGCAAGCAACCGAAUAAUGGCAAUGAUAUAUUACUGCUCAAGGCGCAUCUCCAAAUCAACCUGUCAUGUCCAUGGCUGCGUCUAAGCACUCGGGGCAGAAAUACUCACUCUCCGCCACUGAUUCAUAUCACCGAAUCCACACGGCCAAAUUACGUCCUCCAUGUUUUAAGCGAUGCCACUAUAUCUCGUGGGAAAAUUGUUUCCACAGUUCGAUAUCCCUCCCUUUGAUGAAAAAAUUCACGCUUGGCUUCUGCAUCACAGAGUGCAGAUAACGAAUAUUGUUUUCUAUGUUCUGAACUGGAACACUAUAUCUUGUGUAAAAAAUUGUGUCAACAAUAUCGAUAUUCCCUCCUAUAAAAUAAAAUCAUCAAUAGCUCACUUCUCUAUAUAACUGGAUGCAAAGUAAUGGGCGGUGUGGAGCACCCAAGACAGCACGCAAAAUAUCGGUGUUAUUUUAACUCCACUACGUAGACAAGUCACUAUAUUUACACAAUUAUGUAAGAAAAAGAGCUCUUUUAUGGUACCCUGUAUUGAAUAUUGACCGUCCAUCUGCAAAGAUCCAAUGGUGGGUACUUAUCUGUACUGGUGAAACUGGAUUAGCAGCAUCGCUAGUACCGCACGUCUCACGUCCACCGGUAUACUGCUCGGAGGGCAUUAUCGGUGACUCUGCAUCACCGGCAGCCGCCCGCCGGGGCUCGCCUCCUCUUCGCCCCCAUGCCCGCUGGGGCGCCUCCUCCCUGCCUUUAAUCCGCUGUGCUAUGCAUGCUUCUAUGGUUUUGGACUUCUGGCAUGGCACCGUGCGCCCCAUCCCCCUUCCACGCUACGGCCGCGAUGUUCUUUGCCGCCCCGCAUGGCUGAGCAGUGAGCACCUUAGCAUCGCGUUUAUUGUGUUGCCUCGUUCAUGACGACAGUGCAUGCCAAACCACCCUGCGUUGACGAUGAGGCCAGGAUGUGUACAACGUCGUGGUCUUCACGGAGAGCUGCGGCUACGAGAGUGCCGGAGCCUGGCGGAACCUCGCCUAUUUUGUGCUAACCAUGCCCUCGCUACGCUCAUGGCCGUCCUCCUUUAUUUUACUACCGCUUGCCUUCAUGAUCGAGCUCUUCAUGGCCUGGAUCACGCUUUACUUUAGCCUCAGCUUGCCGGACGUGGAGCAGCUACUCAUCUGCCUUUGCUGUGAGGUCGACGACCACGUCAUUGUUCAAAAGCUCACCCAGGCAGGGCUCAACAUACCUGUUUCCUCGUCGUCACCCCGCUGUCACAGACUCACAGGAGUGCACGAUGCAUUCCGAAAUAUUGAUUCGCCAGAGCAAUUCCCUUCACGAACACAAGAAGAGCUUUCACCGUCACAUAUACUGCUCCCUCCCCAGUAGCAGUAUAGGGUACCAUAAAAACCCUCAAGAAAAAUAAAUAACUCAGAGAACUGUCUGGCCAUAGAUGGAGCUUUCUACAGAUGGGGACAAGAAUUUGGCACCACCCACUCAAUUUCCCUCUCACCUUUUUGCAUUGCUUUCAUAUGUAAAAAAACAAAAACAAAAUAGUGAGUUGACUUGCGAUCUGCCUUAAAAUGACAAGAUGACGGUUGGGGGUUAAAAAAACAUUCAAAUGCAUUUUAUAUAUUCAUAUGUUUACUUAUUUUGUAUUUGUUUGUGCAUGUCAUAAAAAUCAUCAAUUUCCACAAGCAUACAUAAUACUCAAUGAUCUACAUUGACAAUAGGCUUUGAGAUUUUUCAACGCAUGACAAGAAAAAUCAAAUGAGGUCAGCUGGAAAUUAAAGAUCAGUUUUGACUUCCAAAAAAUUAUGAUCUCUUUUGUCCAAACUUAAAAGGAAUCAUUACAGAAAAUUUGGAGAUUCCAAUUGUUAGAAUAUUUUCCUACAGGACUAGUAGGGCUGGGAACCAUAAUGAUAUUUUCUAUGGCCUAAUUGACAUGUUUAUGUUGAGCCAAAUCUUUUGGAAAUAGUUUCGUUGAUUCAGUGACAACUAUGUGCUUGCACCUAACGCUUGAGAAAAUUCUUGUAUUUUUUCCCUCUUGCAAUAAAUCAACAUCCAUAUUUUACGCAUUUACUCCAUCUUCAAUUCCCACAGAAUUCAACACAGCAUGACCUGAAAUCUGUGUGUUAAGUUUUCCGGUUCCUGUCUUUUUAAAAUGCUGCAAAAGUAUGUGGCAUGUAAUCUUUAAAAAUAGUGGGAGUGUGAUAGUUAUUGAAAUGCAUGUAGGAUGGAAACUAAAAUUUCAGUAAAAUUCAGCUUAUAACACUAAAAUUGAAAAGGUUGCCAAGCCUAUGGCAACCAAGAGCCGCCAAGAUUUCUUAAAUAACAAAUAUUUUCGGCGACCUCCCCCAAAGAAGACAUAGCUUUUUCCUUGUCUUGACAUUCAAAAGCACUGAGUGAGGGGUAUCGGCUGAAUAUAUUCACUAAGGGCAUGCACAAAAGAGAGUUGACUAUUAUUAUUUUGCAAUGCUUUCAGAAUUUAGUUUGAUAUUGGUUUAAUUCAUAGUUCAUAAUUUACCGAGAAAUACCACUACGAGGUCAAGCACCCCUAAACUUGACCGUUAUGGCUGCAUGCAUCAAUGUAUGCCGAGGGCCGCGCGCGGGGGGUCUUGUUUGGAAAAUAAUAAUGAUCUUAUAGUGCAAUGAUUGGUCAUUGCCUAAGGUAUUUCCCUCUGUUCCAAGAUACAAGGUGUAUUUUUUAUUAAAAAAAACAAAAUUCCCUAUGUUUGACCAAAUUUAAAAUAAAACGUCUCUGUGUUUGGAAACCAUUUAUAUUUUUAUAAGCUCGAUCAAACAUAGAAGAUUUGACUUCAGAAAAAAAAAUAGUACAACUUAUAUUAUGAAACGGGAGUUAGUAGGUACACCAAUAAUUCGAUAUACGCACAAAAUGCUGGCUGUAGUUCCUUUCAUGGCUCCUUUGAUGUAAGAAAGAUGCUAGUAGAGACUAGAGACAAAGGGAAUCAAAUUAUGGGAGGAGGCGGCCCUAUCUAUAUUCCUCUUCCCCAAGCGGUUGCUCCCGUCCAUCCUUUGCCAAAAGUGGAGCAUCUCCCAUUUCCUUCUUCAUCUUCUCCUCCUCCUCCUUCCUUCGUAUUCACUCACCUAUAAAUAGCCCUCGCUGCCUGCCAUUGUUACUCAAGCCAGCAAGCAAGAAGCACAAAAGAAGCCAACACCAAUCAAGGCCUCCAUCCAAUCCCAAGCAACCUCGAAGAUGUCUUGCUGCGGAGGAAGCUGCGGCUGCGGCAGCGCCUGCAAGUGCGGCAACGGCUGCGGCGGCUGCAACAUGUACCCCGAGGUCGAGGCCGCCGGCGCCACCCUCCUCGUCGCCGCCACCGCCACCCACAAGGCGUACGUCCCUUCUCCUUCCUCAUAUAUCAUGCACUCGAUCGUAACAAUAUGACUGUAUGUUGAUCUUGGUAUGGGUGGGGUACGUGCAGGAGCUCCGGCGGCAUGGAGAUGGCGGCCGAGAACGGCGGCUGCGGCUGCACCCAGUGCAAGUGCGGCACCAGCUGCGGCUGCUCCUGCUGCAGCUGCUAGAUCAUCGGUCAUGCAUGCACCGCGUGCCUCAUAUCUAUGAUCUAUCUAUAUAUCCAUCUACCACCAUGUAACGCUACCUGAUCACGGUCUUUGUAUGUAUGUACGCACCUGCCUGCAUGAGCAGAGCAGGUGCCAUGCCAUGCAUGUAAACCCCUAAAUAAAAUCUCCCGUGGUUUAACCCCCUAUACAUGUGUUUGUGUUAUAGUCUUAUAGACCAACUUCUGGCCCAUGUUUACUAUGAACUUGCGACUUGCGAGGUGCCUGGGUUGUUAAUAGACCAGCUGGAUGCUCUCUUGAAGCAACGUAUGCACCGCUUGGAGUCGGUGUAUCUUUAUACACAUGUAUUUAUUUUACAGGUGUAUAUCAUCGGCCACACCUGGGAAAAAACGAUGGAUGGAGAAGUGUAAAUUUACAGGGGUAUUGCUCUGUGAAACGAGAAUCGAAUCAGGGCCUUAAGGGUAGGGAUGGCAAUGGGUAGGGUAUGGGCGCGUACGACUUUUUUCUGCCCAAACCCAUACCCAAAUCUUUUUUCUAUACCCAUCUAUUUCAAUAUCCAUGGACACAAAUUGGUACCCAUGCCCAUACCUAUCGGGUAUAUUAUACCCAAUGGAUAUCCAAUGGGUAUAGUAUCUAACAUUGGCAUGAUAAAGGUAAGCCAAGAAAAGGGCCUAAAACUAAAUUUAGGUACUCGGCCAUCACAAUCCGGUUUGCACUUACAUCAAAAUUUUACAAUGUGGAUUGACACACAAAUGUCUUAAUCUUCAUUACAAACUAACUUAAAAAAACAAGUUUCAAACUUGCAAUGCCAAUCACUGUAGGUAUUAUAGGGUUUAAUUUAUUUAUUAAUUUUUCUGGGUAUCCAUUAGGAUACCCAUGGGUAUAAUUUCAUACCCAUACCCUACCCAUGCAUUUUGCGGGUAUGGACACCCAUUACCCAUGGGUAUGAAGUAGUAAAAAGUCUUAUCCAUGCCCACUGUUUUCGGGUAGGGUACCCGCGGGUACCCAUACCCAUGGGCAAAACUGCCAUCCCUACUUAAGGGCGUUUGAUACAUGCGAAUAUUACUGGCCAAAGUUGAGUAUGAGAUACAUACAAUACAAACUUGACACUUUUGAAAGUCGUGCUAUCAAUCAUGAGACGCAUAGUUUAGCCAAAUUCUCGCUUAAUCUUUGUCAAAGGGUGUCACAUCUGGUUUGGCCAACCCCAUGAUCCGAUAUGUAUCCUACUCUCUGUGGUUUUCGAUGAAUAAAAUUUGGUUAAACCCUAAAAAAACUUAUUUGACGCGCCUUAGUUUUUUUCGAGAAUUUUUUUUAAAUCCGUUCAUCAAUCAUGGCAGUACAAAAAUCACAACCAGGUCCAUGAACCACCUAGCGACGACUACACUCACUGGAGCGAGCUAAACGUGCGCCGCCAUUAUCGCCCCUCCCUUACCGGAGUCGGACAAACCUUAUUGUAGUAGACAGUUGGAAAGUUAUCGUGCUAAGACCCUCAAGGACCACCGCACUGCAUAGCAACCAUCGUCGAUGAAAAGAGUUGUAGAUUGGAAAGAUCAAAGCUAUAACCACACAAGCGAAGACGAACAAAAAUGGAUCCAAUAGAUCCACCAAAGUCCAGCACGACAGAAUCCUGUGAGAUCCGGCGGGGACACACCUCCACAUGUCCUCCUCCGAUGUUAUUCGCACCACCGGGACGAGGAUCGGAUGUGGGAGACAUUAUUCCUACCCAGGGACAUCACUACCGUCACACAGCCCCAACCAAGACGUUAAACCUAACAAAAACGAGAACGGGUCCCUCCCGCUGCCGGGGGGCCAAGAUCCUCCGCACUCCGGGGAAUCGGCGCCGGCGGCAACGGGAUGAGAAAGGAAACUUUUCUUGAGAAGGAGGAAAGACAGACACAUACUGUUGUGUCUAAAUUACCGUGUCUUAGUUUGAUGUACUAUUUGCACCAGCUACUUCAUAACUAGAUUGCCAUGGUUGACGAUGGGUGUGUUCCCCUCUACUAAUAGUGCGGCAGUGCCCUAGCGGCGACAACUAUAUCAUGAACAAUUAAAACUUCACGAAAUUGGUGGCCUGGUGACUUAUGCCUGUGCCUAUAUCGCACGCUCUUUUGUGAUGACAAAGAAACAGAUUAUCAUUUUCGGAGGUUAAAUGGAAACAGAUGGAGUGAACCACAUGUAUGUUGUACCAGCAAAACAAUAUUUAAAUCGAUUCGUUGAUGAUUUCCUUGAUAUAAAAUUUGAGGUGUGCUCUACAACACCCCACCCUACCCCCGGAGCUCCUAUUUGGCACGCUAAGCGCUAGCGGUCGAGCCCGUGCGCGUCCCCUUCCCUUGCACACCCAUUUGGGUCGGCCCAUGCGCGGGGCGGGACACGCCGUUUUUAUUUUUUAUUUUUCUUUUAUUUAUUUUUUAAAUAAUUCAGGAUUUCAAAAAGUUUCAAAUUUAAAAAAAAUGUCAACUUUGAAAAAACAAAGAAAUCAUAAAAUGUUCAUGGAUUCAAAAAAUAUCUUGAAUUUGAAAGACAUGUCCGGACAUUCCCAAAAUGUUCAUAAAUUUGAACAAAAUGUUCACAAAUUAAAAAACAUGUUCAGAAAACUAAAUAAAUGAUUCUCAAUUACGAAAAUAUUGAAAAAUCAAAAAAUGUUCGUUGAUUCAAAAAAUGUUAAUUAAUUUCGAAAAAUAUUUGUCAAACAAAUAGUAUUCAUGAAUGUCAAAAAUUGUUCCCAGAUUUCAAAAACUAUUUCUUGUCAAAAAUUAUUCAGCAAUUCAAAUGUCCAUGAGUUUUAAAACAAUGUUUACAAUUUUAAAAAAUUCUUAGAUAUAAAAAAAUGUUUGUGAAUUCAAAAAAUAUUCAAGAUUAAAUUAAAUUCAUGAAUUUUUAAACAUGUUCAUGAAUUUGAAAAAUAAUCACAACAAAACAAUGUUCAUGCAAUUGGAAAAUGCUCACAAUUUAAAUAAUGUUAAAAAUCAUUAAAAAGUUCAUAAAUUUGAAAAUAAGUUCAAAAAAUGAAAGACUGAAAAAAGAAAAGAAAAACUGACAUCAAAAUAGGAAAAUAUAAAUAAGGUAAAAACGAAAACGAAAAAUAGAAAUGAAAUAAUGAAAAUGAAAAAACAAAAAUAACCCGAAAGGAAAAAACUGGUAUGGAAAGGUUCUAGAACGUUCCCAAAACCGAAAAGGAGGUACUUGGGCCGCCCCAAAAUGUGUACCUAGUGGGAGGGGCGUAUGCGCUAGGAUUAGCCCCCUAAAAAGCUUCACAACUUUUGAGCAGAUCAAUGGUCUAGAUUAAAACAUGUCCUUUACUUUAGAAGGGGUAAUAUAAAAAAUUCACAUUAUAAAAACACUUGCAAUAAAAAAGAUAACGGGCGCUCUAGAAACCCAUGGCGGCUAGUGCGACUUGUUUGGAGCUAUUCGUCUCCUUCCCAACCCUUAUCCACUACCCCGGUCGUCCAUGUAUCUGUCAAAAGUGUUAGAUGAAGGAAAUAUGCCCUAUAGGCAAUAAUAAAGUUAUUAUUUAUUUCCUUAUUUCAUGAUAAAUGUUUAUUAUUCAUGCUAGAUUUGUAUUAACCGGAAACAUAAUACAUGUGUGAAUACAUAGACAAACAUAGUGUCACUAGUAUGCCUCUACUUGACUAGCCCGUUAAUCAAAGAUGGUUAAGUUUCCUAACCAUAGACAUGAGUUGUCAUUUGAUUAACGAGAGCACAUCAUUAGGAGAAUGAUAUGAUUGACUUGACCCAUUCCGUUAGCUUAGCACUUGAUCGUUUAGUAUUCUGCUAUUGCUUUCUUCAUGACUUAUACAUGUUCCUAUGACUAUGAGAUUAUGCAACUCCCGUUUACCGGAGGAACACUUUGUGUGCUAUCAAACGUGACAACGUAACUGGGUGAUUAUAAAGGUGCUCUACAGGUGUCUCCGAAGGUACUUGUUGGGUUGGCGUAUUUCGAGAUUAGGAUUUGUCACUCCGAUUGCCGGAGAGGUAUCUCUGGCCCACUCGGUAAUACACAUCACUUAAGCCUUGCAAGCAUUGCAACUAAUGAGUUAGUUGCGGGAUGAUGUGUUAUGGAACGAGUAAAGAGACUUGCCGGUAACGAAAUUGAACUAGGUAUUGAGAUACGGACGAUCGAAUCUCGGGCAAGUAACAUACCGAUGGCAAAGGGAACAACGUAUGUUGUUAUGCGGUUUGACCGAUAAAGAUCUUCGUAGAAUAUGUAGGAGCCAAUAUGAGCAUCCAUGUUCCGCUAUUGGUUACUGACCGGAGACGUGUCUCGGUCAUGUCUACAUAGUUCUCGAACCCGUAGGGUCCGCACGCUUAAAGUUCGAUGACGGUUAUAUUAUGAGUUUAUGGUUUUUGAUGUACCGAAGGUAAUUCGGAGUCCUGGAUGUGAUCACGGACAAGACGAGGAGUCUCGAAAUGUUUGAUACGUAAAGAUCAAUAUAUUGGACGACUAUAUUUGGAUAUCGGAAUGGUUCCGGGUGAGAUCAGGAUAAUACCGGAGCACCGGGAGGUUAUUGGAACCCUCCCCCCCGGAGGUAUAUGGGCCUUAAUGGGCUUUAGUGGAAAGGAGGGAAAAGGAGCAAGGGAGGGGGCGCCCCCCCCCCCCCCAAGCCCAAUCCGAAUAGGGAAGGGGGCCACCCCCCUUUCCUUCCUCCCUCCUUCCUCUUCCUUCCCUCCCCCUCUCCAAAUAGGAAAAGGAGGAGUCCUACUCCCGAUGGGAGUAGGACUCCCCCCUUGGGCGCGCCUCCUCCCCUUGACCAGCCCUCUCCUCCCCUCCUUUAUAUACGGAGGAGAGGGGCACCCCAUAGACAGAACAAUUGAUCUCUUGGAUCUUUUAGCCGUGUGCGGUGCCCCUCUCCACCAUAGUCCACCUCGAUAAUAUCGUAGCGGUGCUUAGGCGAAGCCCUGCGACGGUAGAACAACAUCGUCACCACGCCCUCGUGCUGAUAGAACUCUCCCUCACAGCUCGGCUGGAUAGGAGUUCGAGGGAUGAAACCGAGUUGAACGUGUGCAGAACUCGGAGGUGCCGUGCGUUCGGUACUUGAUCGGUCGGAUCGUGAAGACAUACGACUACAUCAACCGCGUUGUGCUAAUGCUUCCGCUUUCGGUCUACAAGGGUACGCGGACACACUCUCCCCUCUCGUUGCUAUGCAUCACCAUGAUCUUGCAUGUGCGUAGGAAAUUUUUUGAAAUUACUACGUUACCCAACAGUGGUAUCAGAGCCAGGUUUUAUGCGUUGAUGUUAUAUGCACGAGUAGAAAACAAGUGAGUUGUGGGCGAUACAAGUCAUACUGCUUACCAGCAUGUCAUACUUUGGUUCGGCGGUAUUGUUGGAUGAAGCGGCCCGGACCGACAUUACGCGUACGCUUACGCGAGACUGGUUCUACCGACGUGCUUUGCACACAAGUGGCUGGCGGGUGUCAGUUUCUUCAACUUUAGUUGAACCGAGUGUGGCUACGCCCGGUCCUUGAGAAGGUUAAAACAGCACUAACCUGACGAACUAUCGUUGUGGUUUUGAUGCGUAGGUAAGAACGGUUCUUGCUCAGCCCGUAGCAGCCACGUAAAACUUGCAACAACAAAGUAGAGAACGUCUAACUUGUUUUUGCAGGGCAUGUUGUGAUGUGAUAUGGUCAAGACAUGAUGCUAUAUUUUAUUAUAUGAGAUGAUCAUGUUUUGUAAUCGAGUUAUCGGCAACUGGCAAGAGCCAUAUGGUUAUCGCUUUAUUGUAUGCAAUGCAAUCGCCCUGUAAUUGCUCUACUUUAUCACUAGGCGGUAGCGAUAGUCAUAGAAGCAAUAGUUGGCGAGACGACAAUGAUGCUACGAUGGAGAUCAAGGUGUCGCACUGGUGACGAUGGUGAUCAUGACGGUGCUUCGGAGAUUGAGAUCACAAGCACAAGAUGAUGAUGGCCAUAUCAUAUCACUUAUAUUGAUUGCAUGUGAUGUUUAUCUUUUAUGCAUCUUAUUUUGCUUUGAUUGACGGUAGCAUUAUAAGAUGAUCUCUCACUAAAUUUCAAGAUAAAAGUAUUCUCCCUGAGUAUGCACCGUUGCCAAAGUUCGUCGUGCCCAGACACCAUGUGAUGAUCGGGUAUGAUAAGCUCUAUGUCCAUCUACAACGGGUGCAAGCCAGUUUUGCACACGCAGAAUACUCAGGUUAAACUUGACGAGCCUAGCAUAUGCAGAUAUGGCCUUGGAACACCGAGACCGAAAAGUCGAGCUUGAAUCAUAUAGUACAUAUGAUCAACAUAAUGAUGUUCACCAUUGAAAACUACUCCAUUUCACGUGAUGAUCAGUUAUGGUUUAGUUGAUUUGGAUCACAUGAUCACUUAGAUGAUUAGAGAGAUGUCUAUCUAAGUGGGAGUUCUUAAAGUAAUAUGGUUAAUUGGACUUUAAUUUAUCUUGAACUUAGUCCUGGUAGUAUUAGCAUAUCUAUGUUGUAUAUCAAUAGCUCGCGUUUAGCUCCCCUGUUUUAUUUUUGAUAUGUUCCUAGAGAAAACUAAGUUGAAAGAUGUUAAUAGCAAUGAUGCGGAUUGGAUCCGUGAUCUGAGGAUUAUCCUCACUGUUGCACAGAAAUAUUAUGUCCUUGAUGCACCGCUAGGUCACAGACCUAUUGCAGGAGCAGAUGCUGACGUUAUGAACAUUUUGACAAAAGCUCGGUAUGAUGACUACUUGAUAGUUUAGUGCACCAUGCUUUACGACUUAGAACCGGGACUUCAAAAAUGUUUUGAACGCCACGGAGCAUAUAAGAUAUUCCAAGAAUUGAAAUUGGUAUUUCAUACUCAUGCCAGUGUCGAGAGGUAUGAGACCUCUGACAUUACUUUGCCUACAAGAUGGAGGAGAAUAGCUCAACCAGUAAGCAUGUGCUCAGAUUGUCUGAGUACUACAAUCACUUGAAUCAAGUGGGAGUUAAUCUUCUAGAUAAUAUAGUGAUUGACAGAGUUCUCUAGUCACUAUCACCAAGUUGUUAGAACUUCAUGAUGAACUAUAAUAUGCAAGGGAUAACGGAAACGAUUCCCAAGCUCUUCAUGAUGCUGAAAUCGACGAAGGUAAAAAUCAAGAAAAGCAUCAAGUGUUGAUGGUUAACAAGACCACUAUUUUCAAGAAAAGGGCAAAUGGAAUAAGGGGAAUUUCAAGAAGAACGGCAAGCAAGUUGCUGCUCAAGUGAAGAAGCCCAAAUCUAGACCUAAGCCUGAGACUAAGUGCUUUUACUGCAAAGGGACUAGUCACUGGAAGUGGAACUGCCCCAAGUAUUUGGCAGAUAAGAAGGAUGGCAAAGUGAACAAAGGUAUAUUGGAUAUACAUGUUAUUGAUGUGUACUUUACUAGUGUUUAUAGCAACCCCUCAGUAUUUGAUACUAGUUCAGUUGCUAAGAGUAGUAACUUGAAAUGGUAGUUGGACAAUGAACAGAGACUAGUUAAGGGUGGAGCAACGAUGUGUGUUGGAAGUAGUUCCAAGAAUGAUAUGAUCGUCAUCGCACACUCCCUAUACUUUCAGGAUUAGUGUUGAACCUAAAUAAGUGUUAUUUGGUGUUUUCGUUGAGCAUGAAUAUGAUUUGAUCAUGUUUAUUGCAAUACGGUUAUUCAUUUAAGUUAGAGAAUAAUUGUUAUUCUGUUUACAUGAAUAAAACCUUCUAUGGUUAUACACCCAAUGAAAAUGGUUUGUUGAAUCUUGAUUGUAGUGAUACACAUAUUCAUAAUAUUGAAGCCAAAAGAUGCAAAGUUAAUAAUGAUAGUGCAACUUAUUUGUGGCACUGUCGUUUAGGUCAUAUUGGUGUAAAGCGCAUGAAGAAAAUCCAUGCUGAUGGGCUUUUGGAAUCACUUGAAUAUAAAUCAGUUGAUGCUUGCGAACCAUGCCUCAAGGGUAAAGAGGACUAAGACUCCGUUCUCCAGAACAAUGGAGCGAGGAACUGACUUAUUGGAUAUAAUACAUACUGAUGUAUGAGGUCCGAUGAGUGUUGAGGCUCGCGGCGGGUAUCGUUAUUUUCUGACCUUCACAGAUAAUUUGAGCAGAUAUGGGUAUAUCUACUUGAAGAAACAUAAGUCCGAAACAUUUGAAAAGUUUAAAGAAUUUCAGAGUGAAGUGGAAAAUCAUCGUAACAAGAAAAUAAAGUUUCUACGAUCUGAUCGUAGAGGCAAAUAUUUGAGUUACGAGUUUGGUCUUCAAUUAAAACAAUAUGGAAUAGUUUCACAAACUCAUGCCACCUGGAACACCAUAGCGUAAUGGUGUGUCCGAAAGUCAUAACUGUGCUUUAUUUGAUAUAGUGCAAUCUAUGAUGUCUCAUACCGAUUUACCACUAUCAUUUUGGGGUUAUGCAUUAGAGAUAGCUGCAUUCACAUUAAAAAGGGCACCAUCUAAAUCUGUUGAGAUAACACCGUAUGAACUGUGGUUUAGCAAGAAACCUAAGGUGUCGUUUCUUAAAGUUUGGGGUUGCGAUGCUUAUGUGAAAAAGGUUUAUCUUGAUAAGCUCAAACCCAAAUCGAAGAAGUGCGUCUUCAUAGGAUACCCAAAAGUAACUGUUGGGUACACCUUCUAUCACAGAUCCGAAGGCAAGAUAUUUGCUGCUGAGAAUAGAUCCUUUCUAGAGAAGGAGUUUCUCUCGAAAGAAGUGAGUGGGAGGAAAGUAGAACUUGAUGAGGUAACUGUACCUGCUCCCUUAUUGGAAAGUAGUUCAUCACAGAAAUCUGUUUCUGUGACUCCUACACCAAUUAGUGAGGAAACUAAUGAUGAUGAUCAUGUAACUUCAGAUCAAGUUAUUACCAAACCUCUUAGGUCAACCAGAGUGAGAUCCGCACCAGAGUGGUACGGUAAUCCUGUUCUGGAGGUCACGUUAAUUGACCAUGACGAACCUACGAACUAUGAGGAAGCGAUGAUGAGCCCAGAUUCCGCGAAAUGGCUUGAGGCAUGAAAUCUAAUAUGGGAUCCAUGUAUGAGAACAAAGUGUGGACUUUGGUUAACUUGCCCGAUGAUCGGCAAGCCAUAGAAAAUAAAUGGAUCUUCAAGAGGAAGACGGACAGUGAUAGUAGUGUUGCUAUCUACAAAGCUCGAAUUGUCGCAAAAUGUUUUCGACAAGUUCAAGGUGUUGACUACGAUGAGAUUUUCUCACUCGUAUCGAUGCUUAAGUCCGUCCGAAUCAUGUUAGCAAUUGCCGCAUUUUAUGAUUAUGAAAUUUGGCAAAUGGAUGUAAAGACUGCAUUCCUGAAUGGAUUUCUGGAAGAAGAGUUGUAUAUGAUGCAACCUGAAGGUUUUGUCGAUCCUAAAGGUGCUAACAAAGUGAGCAACCUCCAGCGAUCCAUCAAUGGACUGGUGCAAGCUUCUCGAAGUUGGAAUAAACGUUUUGAUAGUGUGAUCAAAGCAUAUGGUUUUAUACAGACUUGCGGUGAAGCCUGUAUUUACAAGAAAGUGAGUGGGAGCACUACAACAUUUCUAAUAAGAAGUGUGAAUGACAUAUUGUUGAUCGGAAAUAAUGUAGAAUUUUCUGGAAAGCAUAAAGAAGUAUUUGAAAUGAGUUUCUCAAAUAAAGACCUCGAUGAAGCUACUUACAUAUUGAGCAUCAAGAUCUAUAGAGAUAGAUCAAGACGCUUGAUAAGUUUUUUCAAUGAGUGCAUACCUUGACAAGAUUUUGAAGUAGUUCAAAAUGGAACAGUCAAAGAAAGAGAUCUUACCUGUGUUACAAGGUGUGAAAUUGAGUAAGACUCAAAGCCCGACCACGGCAGAAGAUAGAAAGAGAAUGAAAGUCAUUCCCUAUGCCUCAACCAUAGUUUCUAUAAAGUAUGCCAUGCUGUGUACCAGAUCUAUUGUAUACCCUACACUGAGUUUAGCAAUGGAAUACAAUAGUGAUCUAGGAGUAGAUCACUGGAUAGCGGUCAAAAUUAUCCUUAGUGGAAUAAGGAAAUAUUUCUCGACUAUGGAGGUGAUAAAAGAGUUCGUCGUAAAGAGUUACGUCGAUGCAAGCUUUUUACAUCGAUCUAGAUGACUCUAAGUCUCGAUCUGGAUACAUAUUAAAAGUGGGAGCAAUUAGCUAGAGUAGCUCCAUGCAAAGCAUUGUUGACACAGAAAUUUUCAAAAUACAUAUGGAUCUGAAUGUGGCAGACCCGUAGACUAAACUUCUCUCACAAGUAAAACAUGAUCACACCUUAGUACUCUUUGGGUGUUAAUCGCAUAGCGAUGUGAACUAGAUUAUUGACUCUAGUAAACCCUUUGGGUGUUGAUCACAUGACGAUGUGAACUAUGGGUGUUAAUCACAUGGUGAUGUGAACUAUUGGUGUUAAAUCACAUGGCGAUGUGAACUAGAUUAUUGACUCUAGUGCAAGUGGGAGACUGAAGGAAAUAUGCCCUAGAGCCAAUAAUAAAGUUAUUAUUUAUUUCCUUAUUUCAUGAUAAAUGUUUAUUAUUCAUGCUAGAUUUGUAUUAACCGGAAACAUAAUACAUGUGUGAAUACAUAGACAAACAUAGUGUCACUAGUAUGCCUCUACUUGACUAGCUCGCUAAUCAAAGAUGGUUAAGUUUCCUAACCAUAGACAUGAGUUGUCAUUUGAUUAACGGGAUCACAUCAUUAGGAGAAUGAUAUGAUUGACUUGACCCAUUCCGUUAGCUUAGCACUUGAUCGUUUAGUAUUCUGCUAUUGCUUUCUUCAUGACUUAUACAUGUUCCUAUGACUAUGAGAUUAUGCAACUCCCGUUUACCAGAGGAACACUUUGUGUGCUACCAAACGUCACAACGUAACAGGGUGAUUAUAAAGGUGCUCUACAGGUGUCUCCGAAGUUACUUGUUGGGUUGGCGUAUUUCGAGAUUAGGAUUUGUCACUCCGAUUGUCGGAGAGGUAUCUCUGGCCCCUCGGUAAUACACAUCACUUAAGCCUUGCAAGCAUUGCAACUAAUGAGUUAGUUGCGGGAUAAUGUGUUAUGGAACGAGUAAAGAGACUUGCCAGUAACGAGAUUGAACUAGGUAUUGAGAUACCGACGAUCGAAUCUCGGGCAAGUAACAUACCGAUGGCAAAGGGAACAACGUAUGUUGUUAUGCGGUUUGACCGAUAAAGAUCUUCGUAGAAUAUGUAGGAGCUAAUAUGAGCAUCCAUGUUCCGCUAUUGGUUAUUGAACGGAGACGUGUCUCAGUCAUGUCUACAUAGUUCUCGAACCCGUAGGGUCCGCACGCUUAAAGUUCGAUGACGGCUAUAUUUUGAGUUUAUGGUUUUUGAUGAACCGAAGGUAAUUCAGAGUCCUGGAUGUGAUCACGGACAAGACGAGGAGUCUCGAAAUGUUCGAGACGUAAAGAUCGAUAUAUUGGACGACUAUAUUUGGAUACCAGAAUGGUUCCGGGUGAGAUCGGGAUAAUACCGGAGCACCGGGAGGUUAUCGGACCCCCCCGGAGGUAUAUGGGCCUUAAUGGGCUUUAGUGGAAAGGAGGUAAAAGGAGAAAGGGAGGGGGCGCCCCCCCCCCCCCAAGCCCAACCCGAACUGGGAAGCCCCCCCCCUUUCCUUCCUCCCUCCUUCCUCUUCCUUCCCUCUCCCUCUCCAAAUAGGAAAAGGAGGAGUCCUACUCCCGGUGGGAGUAGGACUCCCCCCUUGGGCGCACCUCCUCCCCUUGGCCGGCCCUCUCCUCCCCUCCUUUAUAUACGGAGGAGAGGGGCACCCCAUAGACACAACAAUUUAUCUCUUGGAUCUUUUUGCUGUGUGCGGUGCCCCUCUCCACCAUAGUCCACCUCGAUAAUAUUGUAGCGGUACUUAGGCGAAGCCCUGUGACGGUAGAACAUCAACAUCGUCACCACGCCGUUGUGCUGAAGGAACUCUCCCUCAAAGCUCGGCUGGAUCGGAGUUUGAGGGACGUCAUCGAGUUGAACGUGUGCAGAACUCAGAGGUGCCGUGCGUUCGGUACUUGAUCGGUCGGAUCGUGAAGACAUACGACUACAUCAACCGCAUUGUGCUAAUGCUUUCGCUUGCGGUCUACAAGGGUACACGGACACACUCUCCCCUCUCGUUGUUAUGCAUCACCAUGAUCUUGCGUGUGCGUAGGAUUUCUUUUUAAAUUACUAUGUUACCCAACAUUAGACUCCUCCACUUUAUCUUACUCCUCACAUUCCCAUCAUCCGACAUAGUAUGACGACAUCUCAGCCCCUUGUAUUCACAUCACACGGUGUUCAAAUCGCACGAGCCACGAGGCCUUGUUUUUUAAACAGAAGUGGUGUACCCAAGCACCCCUAAUGAAAUUGGCGUUCCCUUGAUCCAAAGAAAAAAAGAGUAAAAAGAAACCAAACACUCCCCCCCCCACAUACACCUCCAGCGUUCCUAUGCACCGAAUUGUACACAACCAAUAGUUUCUACAUUGCUACACAUGAAUGAUGCUUACAGUUGAAAUAAAAGGCAACUCAUUGUCGCUUACAACUAAAUAGCAAAAGGAUACUAGGAGUAGAGUUUGACAUAGGCUAGAGUAAGUGCAUUAUAUAUCCUUAUUUCUGUUUCGCAAUUUUUUUUCCUUAUUUCUAGUGUGUGAUUGCCACCCAAGAUUGCAAUAGAACACCAGGUCAACUGACAAUCCAAUCCCUGGUGUUCUAUUAUAUGUCGAGUUAAAUACUAAAAAGUGCUACUAGGAGUAGAGUAUGAGAUGAACGAGAGUAAGUGCAUUAUGUAUAUCCUCAAUUAUAGUGUGCGGUCACCACCCAAGAUUGCAACAGAACACCAAUUUGGCUGACGAAACCAAUCUAGUCCAAUCGCUUAUUGAACUAAAAGUCGGUAUAUGUACUUAGGAGUUGCCUAACUAAAGCAUGCGGUUCAACUUGAUAGAUCUAGUAAGAUUCAACUCGAUAAUCGUUUAAUUCCUAAUGGUUUCUAUAAAAAAUAGUUACAAUAACUAACUCAAACGAAAUAUAAGCGAACAAUCAAACAUCGACCGGCUCACAUGGCUUCCAAAUAAAACUAAUUAACAGAUCGAGUAAUACAUUGUUUAUUCCUUGCUCUUAAUAUGAGGUUAUACAUAACAUAUUUUGGUCCAUCCUGAAGUAAGUAUUACGUAACAAGUACUAGCUAGUAUUUCAGUCUCUACUAGCAAAUGUUGCAAUAGCAAACAGCCUUGAUGGCGUUCUUCUUAUCACAGUGGUAGUCCUUGAGGCUGCCCUUCCUAUCACGUGCAAACACGUCACACGUGGCCUUGCAUAGAGGCUUGGUGCAGAAAAACUCCCCGCCGUCGUCAACGACCGCGAAAUUGUGCUGCACAACACCAAGAAAACACAAACCAUUAUAUUAGAAUAUUAGCGACAAACCCCCAUUAGAUUAGAUUAUACGUAUUUGACAAACACAAUUAAACACACCUGCAGAAAUAGGAGUACCCACAAGUGUUAGCACCACGAGGAAGCAAACAAUAGCAGCCCGUGUGUCCAUCCCAAGAGUUCUCUCCUUUUUUGAACUAGAAGGAAAAAUAUGUGUUCUCUUCGUCUAUUUUAAUUUGGCUAUGGGACUAAUGUUUAUGUCUUGAAGUGCUUGGAGUGUUGUCUUAUAUAGACUUAUUGAAAGGGACAAAAAUAAAAGCAUUUAAAUGAUUGUUAAACUUAGCAAAAGAGAUAGAGGUGAGUCACACCCCAAAAAUGGAAGCACUUAAUGCUGGGUGAGAAAUUAAAUGACGAAGGCAAAGAAUAUAUGAGUGAUGUUUAUCCAAUAAUCAAGGCUUUAAUUUUCGACUACAAAAUAAGCAUGACCAUUCAAAAAAUGGAGUCAUCUUUUUGUCGCUGGUGACAUUGAUCAAACAUGGUUUUUUAUAAAAAAAAAUGUAUAGCCACUUUAAUUGCAAACACCAUUGUGCAUUGAAAUUCAGUUGACUUCAACAAAACAAUCAAUAUGAAUUGCAUGCUUGAUAUGUAACCAACUAAAACUAAAAUUGUAUGUUGUCUCGAGUUGACUAAAUCACCAUUUUUGGCUAGACAAUGUUUAAAACUGUGUCAACUGUGUCAAUUUGCACGGCGCCUGGGACAAUGCAAUGUCAAAUCUUGCACUAUUUUAAACCACCACAAGAUAAGCAAGCUGAGUUGGCCCGGGCCUCUUGCCAGACGCUGGCAUCCACCUCGAAAUCUAUAUCAAUAUAUUUUUUGUAUCACAUGAAUCAUAUAGUAUUGGUCUAAAAUAUAUUUUCUCUUGUUGCAAAAUAUGAAAGAAAAAUCGGCACAACAAUAUUAUAUAGACCCAUCGCAACAAUAGCAUGCUUCACAGUCGGUGGGUCCCAUGUAAAGACAUUUGGAAAUACCUCAAAAAUGCAUAUGUGUACUAUUUAUUAUUGUCCAAGAAUUUCACAUGCUCACUCACAACAAACUGUUGAAGAAUUCCGUGCAACUUAGAAACUAACGUAUGCAACAACGCGAGCACAACAUUUGUGUUAGGACUAACAAAAUUACAUUACAUUGUAGCAUGUCACACAUGUGUAUGUAGUAUGACGCAAAUGAGUUCACAGCAUACCAAAACAACGAAUGGUAACUACAAAAAAUUCCCAUAAAUCUAACAUUUUACAACCAAAAAAUUUGGUGGGCACUGACCUCACCUCAUCAAACUUGCUCUAAUAUUCUAGUUAGUGUAGAGUUUUGGAUUAAGCUAAAGUUGCUCUAGUAUUAUGCCACAACAAAAAGGAAAGAAAUGGGGGAAAACAAAGAAGAGCGGAGCAGGGUGGCUUACUCGGAUCUAAGUCGGCCAAUAUCAAUCGCAUUGCCCUCCUAAAUCCUGAUUACUCAAGCCAGCCCAAAAUUGAGGGGCUACUAAAAUAGAAGUUGAGCCUAUGGUGCAAGAACAGAAAAGCCAUUGGAUUGGAUAUGGAUAGCACAUGAUCUGGUGGAGCGAUCUCAGGCCACUUUUUGUAUAUUUUAUGAAAAAACCCUAUUAACAGUUAGGUACAAAACAAAACAUUCGCAGUGACCACCUUAAGUAUCUCAUCUCCCAAUCCAAUAGUGGAGUUAACGACCAUUUACAGAUUUCAGGUUUUUUCCAGCGACCAUUUAUAGAAUUUGCACAACCUCAUAUCCUAUCAGUUUUAUAAAAUAUAUUUUCACAUACCGAGCACAAAUAUAUGGUUGUAAGAAUGAAGAACUCAUACUCAUGCUUGUUUUAAUUCUAGUAUUUACACCCCUAAGGUUGUUAAGGUCCGGUUACAAAAACUCGAAUUUAAUUCUCUUAUAAGAACUUGUUAGAGUCCUGUCAUAGUGCACAUCCUCUCGUGGAUUCGAUAACUCAAGGUUGCUCCUUCGGGAAAAGGGAGGGAAACCUUUGUUGUCCAAACCGGAUCUCAAAGAGCACCACCCAUCUCUCACCCUACUCGAUGAUACAACAUCGACGACCAGGUACGUGUGUAACCAACCGUCUGCUCCCUCGCUCUGUCACUGUGGUGCUAUUCAUUACAUCAAGUCGGGACCCAUUUCCUUCCUUUUGAGGUUAACAAUUAAGGUUUCUAGUCUAUAUGAGGGCCUUCGGAUUCAACUUAUAAGAAUGUUAGUUCAAAUUUAAUGAUGAUUAUUUCAAGUGGAUGGUUAUGUGAACUAGGUUGGUAGAGUGGUGGCCGACCACUGUUGCGGCGGACUUCAGGGAUGUUUGAUCUAUCCACCUGGCUUGAUCAAGCAGCGUCGACAUUUGUGCAUCAUUAUUUUGUUGAAUAUGUUCGUUCGAUUUGCUUGUUGCAGGGGUGAUAGCCUCUGGUCCGACGUUUGGUUACACGAGACAAUAAGCUCCCCUUGCAAAAGUGUAUGAUGUGGGAAUUACGUGUUGUACUCCUCAGGUGCAAACGCACGUAUAUAUGAUGUACAGGAGUAGGCCACGACCUCAAUUAUACAAGGCAACUAGGAGGUGGGCCCAAUACACAAAUAUGCACAACAAAGACUGGACCGGAACUCCUCAAAAUGAUGCCGUAGGCAAGUCCUUGGUCAUGGUAUAUGCAAAUUGUUGGGAAGUAGGGACGUGUAAAACACGAAUAUGGCCAAGGGCCACCUAUUCCCGAACAAAAUGAAUAUCCAACUCAAUAUGCUUGGUCCGUCGAUGAUGCACCGGGUUAGCGGAGAGGUAGACUGCCGAGACGUUGUCGCAAUAGACCACCGUGGCACGGUCAACAGGGAAAGAGAGCUCCUGAAGCAGCUGGCGAAGCCACGAACACUCGGCGACGGUGUUGGCCACCGCAGGAUACUCAGCCUCAGCGUUGGAACGAGAGACCGUAGGCUGCCGCGUGGAUGACCACGAGAUAAGUGAGGGUCCAAGGUAGACACAAUAGCCCGAGGUGGAGCGACGAGUUUUAGGGCAGCCCGCCCAGUCUGCAUUGAAGUAGGCGGCGAGGGCAGUGUCGGCGGAGGCAUGAAGCGUGACACCAAGAUCCAUAGUGCCACAGACAUAGCGGAGAAUCCGUUUGACAACGGCCCAGUGCAUCUCGAGGAGCAUGCAUAUGAAGACACACCUGCUGCACGACAUACUGGAUCUCUGGUUGAGUUAAAGUGAGGUACUGAAGAGCACCAACAAUAGACCGAUAAAAAGCAGCAUCCGAAGCAGGAGAACCAUCCGUGGCAGAAAGCUUGGCCUUUGUAUAAACAGGCGUAGCAGCGGGCUUGUAGUUAAGCAUGUUGGCCCGCUCCAGGAGCUCAUGAGCAUACUUCCGCUGAUGAAAGAAGAAGCCAUCCGGACGGCACACCACCUCGACACCGAGGAAGUUGUGCAAAGGACCCAAGUCCUUGAUGGCAAACUCAGCGCGAAGACGAGCCAUGAGCUGACCGAGGAGACCAACCAUACAUGCCGUCAGGAUGACGUCGUCGACAUAGAGCAGAAAGUAGGCCGUGUUAGAGCCCUGAUGAUAGACGAAGAGCGAGGCGUCCGAGCGGGUGGAGCGGAACCCAAGCUGGUGGAGAAACGCUGCGAUGCGCUGGUACCAAGCACGCAGAGCCUUCUUAAGUUCAUACAAGGACCGCGAAAGCAGGCACACGUGGUCGGGAAGCGCCGGGUCAACAAACCCGGUGUGCUGCUGGCAGAAGACCUGCUACUCCAGGUGACCAUGGAGCAAGGCGUUGGAGACGUCCAUCUGGUGCACCGGCCAAGCACGGGAGACUGCAAGGUGGAGAACCGUGUGUAUCGUGUCGGGCUUGACGACCAGAGCGAAGGUGUCGAUGAAGUCGAUGCCAGCACGCUGUCGGAAGCCACGAACGACCCAACGCGGUUUGUAGCGAUCAAAGGUACCAUCGGGACGGAGGUUGUGUUUGAAGACCCACUUCCCGGUAAUCACGUUGGCGUGCUGAGGACAGGAAACAAACAUAGAAGAUUUGACUUUAGAAAAAAAAUAGUACAACUUAUCUAUACCUAAUAUUAAAGGACGGAGAUUUUUAUAGUUCUCCAUACAUCUAACUUUAUUAAUAGUCUUCAUCGGCCCACCGGAGCAAGACAAUAAGUAGGCCUGGAAACACUCGAUUCAAUGGGCCUGAAAAAUAAACGGGCAUGCAUCCUCUCUCGCUCAUCUCUCUCCUCUCGAACCCCUCAUAAAAAAUUUCUCUCCUCUCGAUCCCUUCGCUCUCUACUACGAGCGCUCCUGGGGCAGACAUGUUCUCCCUUCUCUCUACCGCUGCGGAUGGCCCAACUUGACUCCGAGACGAACUCUGCUCGAGCACGCACCCAUAGGGUGUCCCGACAGGUUCUUUGCGGUUCCGCAGGCUGGUCUAGGAACAUAUAGAAACAAAUUGACGCCAUCAAACGAAGCCCCAGCUCAAUUGCCUGGUUGCGGAGUGCGGCGGCAUGUCGAGCCGAACGCCGGCAAGAUCAUACAGGAUGAGGCAGUAGAUGCCAACGAUAGUGUGCGUCACCCAACUCGACGCAGGCGAGGAAGAUGAGCAGGACGGCGUUGGAGCUCAGCAGGGCGCCGACGAGAACGUACGGGAAGAGGCGGUAGACGCCGAUGGCGGUGUAGGUAACCCACCCAGCUCGACGAAGGUGAGGAAGAUGAGUAGGACGGGGGGUAGCCGGGGAUUUGAAGAGGACUCGGAAGGGCUACACGAGCAUGACCAGGUCGUCACUGAAUCGGAUCCGUCACCUCAUGCGGCUGAGCUGUUAGAGGACGAUGCAGAGGCUCUGGUCAAAGGCGACCAUGAUGGAUGUGUCACCGCCGGCCACGCGAUAGAGGAAGAAGGUGAGGCUCAAGAGCCGGCCAGCCGAGUGGACGUGCCGGUGCAGUUGUGACCGCUCGGGAGGUUGAAGGCAAGCGAGGGAGCUCAUGCGGCGACGUCGGCAAGGCUCGGUGGCGAGAUAGCGCAGAAGAGCGGUGCAGCGGAGCGACAACCACGAUGCUAGGGCGUUGCGGAGAGAAAGGAUGAAGAGAGAUAGGGCAAGGGAGUCCUACUGCUGGUGGAGGCACGCAGGAGGAGCUCGAGCAUCAGUUGGCGGGCGAAGCAAGGAGUCGCAGGGCUUUCCAGCGACUAUGAUGGUGCGGGUUGAUCUGGGGAGGCUGGGAGAGCUGCCUCCUAGGGGCGCUGGUUCGGGUUGACGUGUGCGUCAUGUGCACUGCUACAAAAUUGCUGGAUAUGUGUAUCUAUAUGUGUGCGGCUGCGAUUUGAAAGUCGUAGCAAUGCACAGGCUUAUAAUUAAAUAAUUAUAUAUCUUUACUUGUUCAGUAGCAACACAUGCUAGCAAGCAGCAGAGACAGUAUACUAUGUUGGCGAUCAUUUGGCGAGCGAGCAGUUGAAUUGCUGCUGGCAUGCAUUGUGCAGGGGCAUGUUCGCUUGGGUCUUGGGACGAAAUCGACUGAGUCAAUAAAUAAUUUUUUAAAAGGAUAUUAGACCCUCGGCCUCUGCAUCAUUCAUUAUGAUGCACACAAAUAUUUUUAGCAAAGUUAGCCAUGGGUCGAACCAUUAGAUAUCAAAUAGACAUCUACAACUAAGUCGACUUCUGCUGCAACAUCUCUUCAAGAAGGGAUAAACUUUCUCGCCAUCGACCGAAACAAUCCGUAAGAAGAAGAAAAUGAUCACACAUGUGAAACAUAAUUGUCAAUACAAAUACAUGACACAUGGUGGUACGAACACACAUCACGAUGGAAGAAUACCAGCAACUUAAAAGCAAGCCUACAUCAAAUCUAUAUUUCAUUAGUAUUUAGUCCAUAUUUUUAUUUCUAUCAACCUAAACUCCAAUUACGUUAAAAUUUAGGUUUGAACUGCAGAUAUGAGAUUUCGAAUUUAAAGAUUGAACGUAUAUUUAAAGUUCUCAUAGUAUGUGUCUAUUUUUUGGGGUGUCUUUUUACUCGAUAGGAAUCCAAUUCAAUGCUCAAAAUCAAAUAACAAGAUUAUUGCUACAUAUUUUGAUAAAGCUAAAUUUUACUUGAAUUUUGGAUGUAGUUUAGACAAAUAAUUCUCACUAAAUCUUACUAUGGGCCAAUUUUUCUCUACCGUUGCAACACACCGGAUCGAGAGUUUCCAAGAAAACAUUGUCAGUCAGAUGCAUUUACUCCAGAUCAUAACUCAUGUCCUAAGCUUCACGUCGUGAUCCUCAAAUCAUGCAUCUUUUUAUUUUCUCAUCAUCAACCGUUGUGACAUGACACAGUUCCUCGACCUGGCCAACCAUGGUUCAUAGGAACUGGUAUAUUUCUCCCGCUGCAACGCACGGGCAUUCGUGCUAGUAUUUUGAAACGGGAGUUAGUAGGUACACCAAUAAUUCGAUAUACCCACAAAAUGCUGGCUCUAGUUCCUUUCAUGGCUCCUUUGAUGUAAGAAAGAUGCUAGUAGUGACUAGAGACAAAGGGAAUCAAAUUAUGGGAGGAGGCGGCCCUAUCUAUAUUCCUCUUCUCCAAGCGGUAGCUCCCGUCCAUCCUUUGCCAAAAGUGGAGCAUCUCUCAUUUCCUUCUUCAUCUUCUCCUCCUCCUCCUUUCUUGAUGCUCACUCGCCUAUAAAUAGCUCUCGCUGCCUGCCAUUGUUACUCAAGCUAGCAAGCAAGAAGCACAAAAGAAGCCAACACCAAUCAAGGCCUCCAUCCAAUCCCAAGCAACCUCGAAGAUGUCUUGCUGCGGAGGAAGCUGCGGCAGCGCCUGCAAGUGCGGCAACGGCUGCGGCGGCUGCAACAUGUACCCCGAGGUCGAGGCCGCCGGCGCCACCCUCCUCGUCGCCGCCACCGCCACCCACAAGGCGUACGUCCCUUCUCUUUCCUCAUACAUCAUGCGCCUCGCUGUAAUAUGACUAUAUAUGUUGAUCUUGCUAUGGGACUAAGGAUGGAUGGAUGGGUGCAGGAGCUCCGGCGGGAUGGAGAUGGCGGCGGAGAAUGGCGGCUGCGGCUGCACCCAGUGCAAGUGCGGCACCAGCUGCGGCUGCUCCUGCUGCAGCUGCUAGAUCAUUGAUCAUCGAUCAUGCAUGCACCGCGCGCAUGCAUCAUAUCUAUGAUCGAUCCAUCCAUCCAUCUAGUACCAUGUAACGCUACCUGAUCGAGGGUCUUUGUAUGUAUGUAAGCACCUGCCAGCAUGAGCAGAGCAGGUGCACUCCCAUGCAUGUAAACCGACCCCUAAAUAAAAUCUCCCGUGGUUUAACCUAUACAUGUGUUUGUGUUAUAGACCAGCUUCUGGCCCAUGUUUACUAUCAACUUGCGAGGUGCCUGGGUUGCUAAUAGACCAGCUGAAUGCUCUCUUAAAGCAACGUAUGCACCGCUUGGAAUCGGUGUAUCUUUCUUUAUACACAUGUAUUUAUUUUACAGGUGUAUAUCAUCGGCCACACCUGGGAAAAACGAUGGAUGGAGAAGGGUAAAUUUACAGGGGUAUUGCUCUGUGAAACGAGGGUCGAAUCAGGGUCGUAAGGGUGUUUGAUACGUGUGAAUAUUACUGGCCGAAGUUGAGUAUGAGAUACAUACAAUACAAACUUGACACUUUUGAAAGUCGUGCUAUCAAUCAUGAGACACAUAGUUUAGCCAAAUUCUCGCUUAAUCUUUGUCAAAGGGUGUCACGUACUCACGUCUGGUUUGGCCAACCCCAUGAUCCGAUAUGUAUCCCACUCUUUGUGGUUUUCGAUGAAUAAAAUUUGGUUAAACCCUAAAAAAAACUUAUUUUGC